rnacentral:rRNA from 1 species
AGAGUUUGAUCCUGGCUCAGAUUGAACGCUGGCGGCAGGCCUAACACAUGCAAGUCGAGCGGAUGACGGGAGCUUGCUCCUUGAUUCAGCGGCGGACGGGUGAGUAAUGCCUAGGAAUCUGCCUGGUAGUGGGGGACAACGUUUCGAAAGGAACGCUAAUACCGCAUACGUCCUACGGGAGAAAGCAGGGGACCUUAGGGCCUUGCGCUAUCAGAUGAGCCUAGGUCGGAUUAGCUAGUUGGUGGGGUAAUGGCUCACCAAGGCGACGAUCCGUAACUGGUCUGAGAGGAUGAUCAGUCACACUGGAACUGAGACACGGUCCAGACUCCUACGGGAGGCAGCAGUGGGGAAUAUUGGACAAUGGGCGAAAGCCUGAUCCAGCCAUGCCGCGUGUGUGAAGAAGGUCUUCGGAUUGUAAAGCACUUUAAGUUGGGAGGAAGGGCAGUAAGCUAAUACCUUGCUGUUUUGACGUUACCGACAGAAUAAGCACCGGCUAACUCUGUGCCAGCAGCCGCGGUAAUACAGAGGGUGCAAGCGUUAAUCGGAAUUACUGGGCGUAAAGCGCGCGUAGGUGGUUUGUUAAGUUGGAUGUGAAAGCCCCGGGCUCAACCUGGGAACUGCAUCCAAAACUGGCAAGCUAGAGUACGGUAGAGGGUGGUGGAAUUUCCUGUGUAGCAGUGAAAUGCGUAGAGAUGUUGAGGAACACCGAUGGCGAAGGCAGCCCCCUGGGCCGAUACUGACGCUCAUGCACGAAAGCGUGGGUAGCAAACAGGAUUAGAUACCCUGGUAGUCCACGCCCUAAACGAUGUCAACUAGGUGUUGGGUGGGUAAAACCAUUUAGUACCGUAGCUAACGCGUGAAGUUGACCGCCUGGGGAGUACGGCCGCAAGGUUAAAACUCAAAGGAAUUGACGGGGACCCGCACAAGCGGUGGAUGAUGUGGAUUAAUUCGAUGCAACGCGAAAAACCUUACCUACCCUUGACAUGUCCAGAAGCCCGGAGAGAUUUGGGUGUGCCCGAAAGGGAACUGGAACACAGGUGCUGCAUGGCUGUCGUCAGCUCGUGUCGUGAGAUGUUGGGUUAAGUCCCGCAACGAGCGCAACCCUUGUCGUUAAUUGCCAUCAUUUAGUUGGGCACUUUAACGAGACUGCCGGUGACAAACCGGAGGAAGGUGGGGAUGACGUCAAGUCCUCAUGGCCCUUAUGGGUAGGGCUUCACACGUCAUACAAUGGUCGGUACAGAGGGUUGCCAAGCCGCGAGGUGGAGCCAAUCCCAGAAAGCCGAUCGUAGUCCGGAUUGCAGGCUGCAACUCGCCUGCAUGAAGUCGGAAUCGCUAGUAAUCGCGGAUCAGCAUGUCGCGGUGAAUACGUUCCCGGGUCUUGUACACACCGCCCGUCACACCAUGGGAGCGGGUUCCGCCAGAAGUAGGUAGCCUAACCGUAAGGAGGGCGCUUACCACGGCGGGGUUCGUGACUGGGGUGAAGUCGUAACAAGGUAGCCGUA